rnacentral:rRNA from 1 species
UGGGGGAUAUUGCACAAUGGGCGAAAGCCUGAUGCAGCGACGCCGCGUGGGGGAUGAAGGCUUUCGGGUUGUAAACCUCUUUCGCUAUCGAACAAGGCUCGCUUAGGGUGGGUUGAGGGUAGGUGGAGAAGAAGCGCCGGCUAACUACGUGCCAGCAGCCGCGGUAAUACGUAGGGCGCGAGCGUUGUCCGGAAUUAUUGGGCGUAAAGGGCUUGUAGGCGGCUUGUUGCGCCUGCUGUGAAAACGCGGGGCUUAACUUCGCGCGUGCAGUGGGUGCGGGCAGGCUUGAGUGUGGUAGGGGUGACUGGAAUUCCAGGUGUAGCGGUGGAAUGCGCAGAUAUCUGGAGGGACGCCGAUGGCGAAGGCAGGUCACUGGGCCAUUACUGACGCUGAGGAGCGAAAGCAUGGGUAGCGAACAGG